rnacentral:lncRNA from 1 species
UUAAUGGUGCUUCUACCAUGGGUUCUGAAUAUGAUCUAAUCAAAUCUGAUUCUAUGGGUUCACUAAAUUAUGUUGGUUCUUCUACCUGUCAAACUUUAUAAGUUUCACAUUAAAGGCAUCAGUACCUUCACCAUGGUACUCUUUUUCUAAAAAAAAUAUCGAACAACUCUUGUUCUUUAGUAUGGUAGAAGUUAUAUCUCCUAGAUUCUUUGAAGUUAUCCUU